rnacentral:rRNA from 1 species
GAUGAACGCUGGCGGCGUGCUUAACACAUGCAAGUCGAACGGGAUCCAUCAAGCUUGCUUGGUGGUGAGAGUGGCGAACGGGUGAGUAAUGCGUGACCGACCUGCCCCAUACACCGGAAUAGCUCCUGGAAACGGGUGGUAAUGCCGGAUGCUCCAGUUGAUCGCAUGGUCUUCUGGGAAAGCUUUCGCGGUAUGGGAUGGGGUCGCGUCCUAUCAGCUUGACGGCGGGGUAACGGCCCACCGUGGCUUCGACGGGUAGCCGGCCUGAGAGGGCGACCGGCCACAUUGGGACUGAGAUACGGCCCAGACUCCUACGGGAGGCAGCAGUGGGGAAUAUUGCACAAUGGGCGCAAGCCUGAUGCAGCGACGCCGCGUGAGGGAUGGAGGCCUUCGGGUUGUAAACCUCUUUUAUCGGGGAGCAAGCGA